UCCCCUAGAACUUCGAGGCAGAACCAGCCC
rnacentral:piRNA from 2 species